AGCGAACGCUGGCGGCAGGCCUAACACAUGCAAGUCGAACGGCCGUAGCAAUACGGCAGUGGCAGACGGGUGAGUAACACGUGGGAAUGUACCCUUCGGUUCGGAAUAACUCAGGGAAACUUGAGCUAAUACCGGAUACGCCCUUACGGGGAAAGAUUUAUCGCCGAAGGAUCAGCCCGCGUCCGAUUAGCUAGUUGGUGGGGUAAUGGCCCACCAAGGCUCCGAUCGGUAGCUGGUCUGAGAGGAUGAUCAGCCACACUGGGACUGAGACACGGCCCAGACUCCUACGGGAGGCAGCAGUGGGGAAUAUUGGACAAUGGGCGCAAGCCUGAUCCCGCCAUGCCGCGUGAGUGAUGAAGGCCCUAGGGUUGUAAAGCUCUUUCGGCGGGGAAGAUAAUGACGGUACCCGCAGAAGAAGCCCCGGCUAACUUCGUGCCAGCAGCCGCGGUAAUACGAAGGGGGCUAGCGUUGCUCGGAAUCACUGGGCGUAAAGCGCACGUAGGCGG
rnacentral:rRNA from 1 species